UAGGUUUUUUAUGCUUUUGGUUUCAUUCAAAAAGUUUAAAUGUACCUACAUUUGACUUCAGCAUAAAUCUGUAUUUACUUCAAAUGAAUAAAGGUUUAAAAAUACACAUACGUUAAAAAAUCUUAGGCUCCUACUGUACAGACGUACAGUUUACAUUGAAAUUUAACACAGGACGGAAGCAUAACUUCUUAUUAAUUUGAUUCUGAAAGGAGCCAUGCAUGUAUCUAUAGAUUUUACAAUGAUGGGUUUUUUUGUGACUCUCAUCUCCAAGCGAAACAGAAUAAAUUGUUCAAUUUUCAUCUUUGAGGAUGGCUUCUGAUAGAAAAUUGGAUCAUGUUCAAAAAAAAAUAAACGAACAUUUUUAUGCAAGUGUUGCUGGCAUACGUACUAUACAACAAUAG